AUGAAAAGAGAGCAUUGUAAGACCUUUGGCUUGGGGAGGAAAGACUGCAAGUUCUGGGCAGAGACCAUCAGGAAUGUGCAAAUGAAAUCAGGCUUUAGGUGCUUCUGCUUCUCUUGUCCCAGUUUCUUCAAAAUUACUGGAAGGUUCCUUUCUGCCCUUUACAUUCUGAUUUUGAAUCAUCUUUGGAAACAUUGGAUCCCCAUUUGCUGACAUUUCUGCUGCUUACAGAGAAAGGAGGUCAGAGCCAAGAAUUAGGUGCUUUUUAUAUAUUUGAGGGCUAUGAAGAAGUGCACCUAAUGAAUGUCCUUUAAGCAAGAAGUUGGUACCUCUCUGGCACCAUUUGCAACAGUAAUGGUUCAGGCUGAAUGGCUGAAGUUGAAGGGAUCUCAAGAUCAUCUAGUUCGACCCCCGUGCCGAGCAGGGUCACCUAGUGCAUGUUGCAUAGGAUCCCAUCCAUGUGGGUUCUGAAUAUCUCCAGAGUAGGAGACUCCGCAGCCUCUCUGGGCAAUCUGUUCCAGUGCUUUUCACCCCAACAGUAAAUAAGUGUUUUCUCAUAUUCAUCUGGAACUUGCUGUGUUUCAGUUUGUGCCCAUUGCCUCUUAUCCUGUCGCUAAGCACCACUGGAAAGAGUCUGGCCCCAUCCUAUGACAUCCUCCCUUCAGAUAUUUAAACACACUGAUAAGAGAAGACCCCUGUCAGUCUUCUCUUCUCCAAGCUAAACAGGCCCAGAAGGAUUACUCCUUUACAUGCCAGCCACCGUCCAUUUUUCCUGUCAUCACUUCUGCCAGUACAAGUCAUGGUCAAGUUCAGAGACAAAAGGCUUGAUGUGACUUUUUGUAAGACCGCUGGUCCUAACAUUAUGAGUUUCUCGGAGUGGGGACAAGAUUUAUGAACUCAGGUGCAGCCCUUUUCUGAGCAGGUGAUACAUGCAGGGGCACAGCUGGUAUGUCUGCACGGUGCUGAACAACAUCAUGUGGGUGCUGUGGCCUCCUGGGAGUCAGCACAGGGCUCGUCACCCCGGGCACGUUGGUGAUGUUUGUCCCAGCUGGUGAAUUCCAUUGAGUGACUUCAAUGGGCCCUGGCAGAGAUGAGAGACAGACACAGCCUGGAUUUUCCUUCUCAUUUCUCACCAUAACUACUUCACAGCCAUGACUAGAUAGCCAAGAGGUGGAAAGCUGUGUAAGAGCACUACAUACACCUCAGAGGAAAA
rnacentral:lncRNA from 1 species